UACGGGAGGCAGCAGUGGGGAAUAUUGCACAAUGGGCGCAAGCCUGAUGCAGCCAUGCCGCGUGUAUGAAAAAGGCCUUCGGGUUGUAAAGUACUUUCAGUCGUGAGGAAGGUGUUAAGGUUAAUAACCUUAGCAAUUGACGUUAGCGACAGAAGAAGCACCGGCUAACUCCGUGCCAGCAGCCGCGGUAAUACGGAGGGUGCGAGCGUUAAUCGGAAUUACUGGGCGUAAAGGGCACGCAGGCGGUUAAUUAAGUUGGAUGUGAAAUCCCCGGGCUUAACCUGGGAAUGGCAUUCAAGACUGGUUAGCUAGAGUCUUGUAGAGGGGGUAGAAUUCCAUGUGUAGCGGUGAAAUGCGUAGAGAUGUGGAGGAAUACCGGUGGCGAAGGCGGCCCCUGGACAAAGACUGACGCUCAUGUGCGAAAGCGUGGGGAGCAAACGAGGGAUUAGAUAC
rnacentral:rRNA from 1 species